rnacentral:rRNA from 1 species
AGGGUUUGAUCCUGGCUCAGAACGAACGUUGGCGGCGUGGAUUAGGCAUGCAAGUCGAACGAGAAAGGCUUUUUCGGAAGCCAAGUACAGUGGCGGACGGGUGAGUAAUGCAUAGACAACUUGCCCCUGAGAUGGGAAUAACGCUUCGAAAGGAGUGCUAAUACCCAAUAUUGCCUCGAGUCGAUAGGUUCGCGGUGAAAGGAGGCCUCUGAUUAAGCUUCCGCUCAGGGAGAGGUUUAUGUCCUAUUAGCUUGUUGGCGGGAUAACAGCCCACCAAGGCAGCGAUGGGUAGCCGACCUGAGAGGGUGACCGGCCACAUUGGGACUGAGACACUGCCCAAACUCCUACGGGAGGCUGCAGUCGAGAAUCUUCCGCAAUGCGCGCAAGCGUGACGGAGCGACGCCGCGUGGGUGACGAAGGCCUUCGGGUUGUAAAGCCCUGUUAGCUAUUAUGAAUUGCGGGCAAUGAAUAGUUGUCCCGUUUGACGUAUGUAGCAAAGAAAGCACCGGCUAACUACGUGCCAGCAGCCGCGGUAAUACGUAGGGUGCAAACGUUGUUCGGAAUCACUGGGCAUAAAGCGCGCGUAGGCGGUUCGGUCAGUCAGAUGUGAAAUCCCCCGGCUCAACCGGGGAACUGCAUAUGAUACUGCCGAGCUAGAGUGCAGGAGGGGAGAGCGGAAUUCCUGGUGUAGCGGUGAAAUGCGUAGAUAUCAGGAGGAACGCCGGUGGCGAAAGCGGCUCUCUGGACUGUUACUGACGCUGAGGUGCGAAAGCUAGGGGAGCGAACGGGAUUAGAUACCCCGGUAGUCCUAGCCCUAAACGAUGGGUACUAAGUAGGGGGGAUUUUCAAAUUCUCUCUGCCGGAGCUAACGUAUUAAGUACCCCGCCUGGGGAGUAUGGUCGCAAGGCUAAAACUCAAAGGAAUUGACGGGGGCUCACACAAGCGGUGGAGCAUGUUGUUCAAUUCGAAACAACGCGAAGAACCUUACCUGGGUUUGACAUGCUUGGGACCGCCUACGAAAGUAGGUUUCCUCUAUGAGGCCCUUGCACAGGUGUUGCAUGGCUGUCGUCAGCUCGUGUCGUGAGAUGUCGGGUUAAGUCCCAUAACGAGCGAAACCCUUGUCCUUAGUUGCCAGCGGGUCAUGCCGGGCUACUUUAAGGAGACUGCCGGUGUUAAACCGGAGGAAGGUGGGGAUGACGUCAAGUCAUCAUGGCCUUUAUGCCCAGGGCCACAAACGUGCCACAAUGGUCGGUACAAAGAGAAGCAAGACCGAAAGGUGGAGCGAACCUCAAAAAGCCGAUCUCAGUCCGGAUUGGGGGCUGCAACUCGCCCCCAUGAAGUUGGAAUCGCUAGUAAUUGCGGAUCAGCUACGCCGCGGUGAAUGUGUUCCUGAGCCUUGUACACACCGCCCGUCAAGCCACCCAAGCAGGGCGCACCCGAAAUCGCUGGCCCAACCCUUCGGGGGGGGAGGCGCUGAAGGUGAGUUUUGUGAGGGGGACUAAGUCGAAACAAGGUA